UUACUAAUAUGUUAUUUAAACUAAUAGAUUGUGGUUCUAUUGAAUUCAGAUUUAUAUUGUAUUAGUAAA
rnacentral:tRNA from 1 species